rnacentral:rRNA from 1 species
GACGAACGCUGGCGGCGUGCUUAACACAUGCAAGUCGAACGGAAAGGCCCUGCUUUUGUGGGGUGCUCGAGUGGCGAACGGGUGAGUAACACGUGAGUAACCUGCCCUUGACUUUGGGAUAACUUCAGGAAACUGGGGCUAAUACCGGAUAGGAGCUCCUGCUGCAUGGUGGGGGUUGGAAAGUUUCGGCGGUUGGGGAUGGACUCGCGGCUUAUCAGCUUGUUGGUGGGGUAGUGGCUUACCAAGGCUUUGACGGGUAGCCGGCCUGAGAGGGUGACCGGCCACAUUGGGACUGAGAUACGGCCCAGACUCCUACGGGAGGCAGCAGUGGGGGAUAUUGCACAAUGGACGGAAGCCUGAUGCAGCAACGCCGCGUGCGGGAUGACGGCCUUCGGGUUGUAAACCGCUUUCGCCUGUGACGAAGCGUGAGUGACGGUAAUGGGUAAAGAAGCACCGGCUAACUACGUG